rnacentral:rRNA from 1 species
UACGUAGGGGGCUAGCGUUGUUCGGAAUUACUGGGCGUAAAGCGCGUGUAGGCUGCUCGGAAAGUCGGAUGUGAAAGCCCUGGGCUCAACCUAGGAAGUGCAUUCGAAACUUCCGAGCUGGAGUGCUGGAGAGGAAGGCGGAAUUCUCGGUGUAGAGGUGAAAUUCGUAGAUAUCGAGAGGAACACCGGUGGCGAAGGCGGCCUUCUGGACAGCCACUGACGCUGAGACGCGAAAGCGUGGGGAGCAAACAGG